rnacentral:rRNA from 1 species
AGCGAACGCUGGCGGCAGGCCUAACACAUGCAAGUCGAGCGCCGUAGCAAUACGGAGCGGCAGACGGGUGAGUAACGCGUGGGAACGUGCCCUUUAGUUCGGAAUAACCCAGGGAAACUUGGGCUAAUACCGGAUACGCCCUUCGGGGGAAAGAUUUAUCGCUAAAGGAUCGGCCCGCGUAAGAUUAGCUAGUUGGUGAGGUAACGGCUCACCAAGGCUAUGAUCUUUAGCUGUUCUGAGAGGAAGAUCAGCCACACUGGGACUGAGACACGGCCCAGACUCCUACGGGAGGCAGCGGUGGGGAAUAUUGGACAAUGGGCGCAAGCCUGAUCCAGCCAUGCCGCGUGAGUGAUGAAGGCCUUAGGGUUGUAAAGCUCUUUUACCAGGGAAGAUAAUGACGGUACCUGGAGAAUAAGCCCCGGCUAACUUCGUGCCAGCCGCCGCGGUAAAAC